AGAUAGGACCUCGAGGAACUUUCCAAGUGAUUAAUUCCGUUUUGAAUAUGGUACAUUUAAGAUGAUGUCAAGAUACCCAAUGGUCUUGAGUUCAGCACAGAGAUUGUUCGUUUCUGACUCCAUAUCUCAAAUAUAUUGUGAGACUCCCCACCCCCCUCCAGUAUAUCUUCAAGAAGUAAGAGGAGAUCUGCUUAAAAAACUCAAGGAUUAUUUUUUUUUUAAAUAAGAAUGUUGAGGGAAGAAAAUACUAUUCAACAACUCUAUUGAAGAUUUUAUGAUGUAGCACAGGAAUAAGCUGCAACUAAAGGAAACUUUCCUUAAAGUACUAUUUAUUAAAAAUUGGAAUGCAUUCCUGAGGACAAAUCAAGGGAUGGCACACAACAUCCAAACUUCCUGCACAGGUAGAGAGGUGUUAUCAACUUUCUUACACUCCCAAACUUCUCUGCUACCUUGAGGACUGUUUAAGAGGAGCAGGACAUGUUGUUUGCAGUAAGAGAAAUUUGAAGGUACUCACUUUUAUGGAAGACAUAAAAGAGAAUCUCUUUUAUAUUAUUUAAGAUCAUCCUUGAUACACUUAUUCUGAAAGAUAAUAUAGCCAAAUAUCUUCCUCUUUGUUAAAUCUUUACAACACUAAAAUCCUGAAAAGUCAGCGUAGAAUCCAUUCGUUUUUCCAGUCAGAUUGGGCGUAAUUCUUAAUUGAUAGGACAACAUCUAAUAUGCUUAUGAAGUUCCAUCCCACAACACCUGCUCUUCAGAGUGGAACUCAGACUAGCGCUUGGGAAUACCAACUCCAGAAAUUCAGAUCAAGUCCAUAAUUGGGGUAGGGAGGGGCUGUAGGCGGGGCCUCCGGAAGGGGAGGAAGCGUCGUUAGAAAGCUGUGGGACCAGUCCACGGCUGUCACAACUUGAGUUAAGCCUUGUAGUAUCUGAGCGUGCGAGGAUCUGGUGUGUGAGUAGCAUUCUCAAUGAGAACUAGUUUCAUUUGGCAUUUGAGUGGAAUCUGCAACCAGAGGAGUUUCGUCCUCCCGGACUGCUGAGAAAUGCGACAGCUGCAGAGGUGACUGUCGCCAGCAAUAGGGAGCCGGCAGGAAGACUACUGUUGUGGAGAAUGGGCUGUACCGAAAGGUCCAAGUAGCCCCAGGGUUUUAGUGAGAAGGGAAGUGGAACGCAGUCAGGGAUUGGGAGCUACAAGGCGUGCACCGGUUUGAAGCCGGAGAAAAAGUCGGGAGAGAGAGCCGCGUCUAAUUACUUUAGAAGCUGCCACCACUCGAGUGCCGGACUUGUGAGUAUUCUGCGUCUCUUGUCGUCAGACUGAAGUUGGAGAGCUCUCCCAGUUAGGCGACGAGAUCCUACAACUACCUUCUCCUGCCCUCCCCACUUGCCUCAGGGACCCAACAACUGCCACCCUUUCCUUGCCUACCGGAUGCAGGGCAAGGGCAGGAGCUGACCAGCGCCGCCCCCUUCCGACCCAGGAGGUGGAGAUACCCCCCGCCGGUCCAGCCAAAUUCAACACCUGUUUUCUCUUCCCGCUGCUCCUAUAUUCCCGACACCUCCUCCGCCUUGCCCUAUCCCUCCUCCCUAGAGACAGGGGAGGAGAAAAAGGAAGUUCAAGUCGUCAUGACAGAGCUGAAAGCAAAGGAUCCCAGGGCUCCCCACGUGGCGGGCGGUGCGCCCUCUCCCACCCAGGUCGGAUCCCCUCGGCUGGGACGUCCAGACGCUGGCCCCUUCCAGGAGAGCCAGCCCUCCGACGCCUCGUCCGUGGUCUCGGCCAUCCCCAUCUCCCUGGACGGGCUGCUCUUCCCUCGGCCCUGCCAGGGACAGGACCCCCGGGACGGAAAGACGCAGGCCCAGCAGUCGCUGUCAGAAGUGGAGGGGGCGUAUCCCAGAGUUGAAGCCACAGGGGCUGCAGGAGGUGGCAGCUCUAGACCCCCAGAAAAGGACAGCGGGCUGCUGGACAGUGUCUUGGACACGCUACUGGCGCCCUCAGAUCCGGGGCAAAGCCACGCCAGCCCUCCCACCUGCGAGGCCACCAGCCCUUGGUGCCUUUUUGGCCAGGAGCAUCCUGAAGAUCCCCGAUCUGCCCCCUCCACCCAGGGGGUGUUGCCCCCGCUCAUGAGCCGGCCCCAGGGCAAGGCUGGCGACAGCUCUGGGACGGCAGCUGCCCAUAAAAUACUGUCCAGGGGCUUGUCACCGUCCCGGCAGCUGCUGCCCCGGACCUCUGGGAGCCCUCGAUGGCCUGGGGCCGCAGUGAAGCCGUCUCCGCAGCCCGCAGUGGUGGAGAUGGAGGGGGAGGAUGGCUCCGAGUCCGAGGACUCCGUGGGUCCGCUUCUGAAGGGCAAACCCCGGCCUCUGGGAGGCACGGCGGCCGGAGGAGAAGCCCCGGCCACGGCUCCUGGGGUGGCCGCAGGAGGCGUCGCCCUGGUCCCCAAGGAAGAUGCCCGCUUCUCGGCGCCCCGGGUUGCUCUGGCGGAACAGGACGCGCCACCGGCGCCCGGGCGCUCCCCGCUGGCCACCACGGUGAUGGAUUUUAUCCACUUGCCCAUCCUGCCGCUCAACUCGGCCUUCCUGGCCGCCCGCACCCGGCAGCUGCUAGAGGGGGAGAGCUAUGACGGCGGGGCCCCGGCUGUCAGCGCCUUUGCCCCGCCGCGGGGCUCGCCCUCGGCCUCGGCCACCCUGGUGGCCACCAGCGACUUCCCCGACUGCGCGUACCCACCCGACGCCGAGCCCAAGGAGGACGCGUUCCCGUUCUACGGCGACUUCCAGUCGCCCGCCCUGAAGAUCAAGGAGGAGGAGGAAGGCGCCGAGGCCGCCGCGCGCUCCCCGCGGCCGUACCUGGUGGCGAGCGCCAAUCCCGCUAUCUUCACCGAGUUCCCGCUAGCGCCGCCGCCUCUGCCUCAGCGCGCGCCGUCGUCCAGACCCGGGGAAUCGGCCGCGGCGGCCGCCCCCCCGAGUACCUCCGUCUCGUCCGCCUCCUCGUCGGGGUCGACCCUGGAGUGCAUUCUGUACAAGGCGGAGGGCGCGGCGCCCCAGCAAGGCCCGUUUGCGCCGCCGCCCUGCAAGGCGCCGGGCGCGGGCGCCUGCCUGCUGCCGCGGGACGCCCUGCCCUCCACCUCGGCCUCGGCCGCCGCGGGCGUGGCAGCGGCCCCUGCGCUUUACCCGCCGCUCGGCCUCAACGGGCUCCCGCAGCUCGGCUACCAGGCCGCCGUGCUCAAGGAGGGCCUGCCGCAGGUCUACCCGCCCUAUCUCAACUACCUGAGGCCGGAUUCAGAAGCCAGCCAGAGCCCACAGUACAGCUUCGAGUCAUUACCUCAGAAGAUUUGUUUAAUCUGUGGGGAUGAAGCAUCAGGCUGUCAUUAUGGUGUCCUUACCUGUGGGAGCUGUAAGGUCUUCUUUAAAAGGGCAAUGGAAGGGCAACAUAACUAUUUAUGUGCCGGAAGAAAUGACUGCAUUGUUGAUAAAAUCCGCAGAAAAAACUGCCCAGCAUGUCGCCUUAGAAAGUGCUGUCAGGCUGGCAUGGUCCUUGGAGGUCGAAAGUUUAAAAAGUUCAAUAAAGUGCGAGUUAUGAGAGCACUAGAUGCUGUCACUCUCCCACAGCCGGUGGGCAUUCCAAAUGAAAGCCAACCCCUAUGCCAGAGAAUCUCUUUUUCACCAAAUCAGGAUAUACAGUUGAUGCCCCCACUGAUCAACCUGCUAAUGAGCAUUGAACCAGACAUGAUCUAUGCAGGACAUGACAACACCAAACCUGAUACCUCCAGUUCUUUGUUGACAUGUCUUAAUCAACUAGCCGAGAGACAACUUCUUUCAGUAGUCAAGUGGUCUAAAUCACUGCCAGGUUUUCGAAAGUUACAUAUUGAUGACCAGAUAACUCUUAUCCAGUAUUCUUGGAUGAGCUUAAUGGUAUUUGGACUAGGAUGGAGAUCCUAUAAACAUGUCAGUGGACAGAUGCUGUAUUUUGCACCUGAUCUAGUACUAAAUGACGGAUGAAGGAAUCAUCAUUAUAUUCAUUAUGCCUUACCAUGUGGCAGAUCCCACAGGAGUUUGUGAAGCUUCAAGUUAGCCAAGAAGAGUUCCUCUGUAUGAAAGUAUUGUUACUUCUUAAUACAAUUCCUUUGGAAGGACUAAGAAGUCAAAACCAGUUUGAAGAGAUGAGAUCAAACUACAUUAGAGAGCUCAUCAAGGCGAUUGGUUUGAGGCAAAAAGGAGUUGUUUCUAGUUCACAGCGUUUCUACCAACUUACAAAAUUUCUUGAUACCUUGCAUGAUCUUGUCAAACAGCUUCAUCUGUAUUGCUUAAAUACGUUUAUCCAGUCUCGGGCACUGAGUGUUGAAUUUCCAGAAAUGAUGACUGAAGUUAUUGCUGCACAAUUACCAAAAAUCUUGGCAGGGAUGGUGAAACCUCUUCUCUUUCAUAAAAAGUGAAUGACAUUUUUAUCUUUAAAAAAUUAAAUUCUGUGGUAUGUCUGUUUUUGUUUUGGUCAGGAUUAUGAGGUCUUGAGUUUUUACAAUGUUCUUCUCAAAGCCUUACAUUUAUAACAUAUCAUACUGUGUACAUUUCAGAGAAAAUUAUGAGGUUUUGUUUUCCUUUAUAAGCAUAAUUAGAAUUUUUUACGUGUUUUUGUGUACCCAUAUUUAAGAGUUUACAAGAUUGAAAAAGUACUAAAAUUGAUUGUUAAAGUAAACUCAAUCGUAUCCAUAUUAUUUCAUACCAUUUAGGUGAAGAGUUUUAACUUUUGCAUCUAACAAAUCAACUUUAGAGGAAAAAAUCUUAACAUAUAAAAAUAAAAAGCUAUUAUAUAUGUUCCUUGUAGGUAGCUCCCUUUGUCUCCUUGAUUAUAUUUACAAAAAUGAACCUUUAAAUAGGAUGCAAAAUUUUGUCUAUGUGUGUAUAUAUGUUUUUGUGAGGAGGAAAUUCAUUACCCUCAUCAGAUUUUCCAAAGAGUUUUUAAUGCAAAAAAAUACAGAGAAAAGAGUCAAAAAUCCCUCAAACACAUUGAUACUUCUCAAACUAGGAAAAACAGCUCAUAUGUUAAGACUGUUUCCCAGAUUGGAAAUACAAAUCUCUAAGGAAGUUAUUAAGUAGAGCCAUAUCAUUAUGACAACAGUAUUGUGGGUUUUGUAGUUUUUUACUAAGCUUUUUUGGGAAUUGUCCUCUAAUAAGGUACUGUGAAUGGAAUAGGAAGUCAGGAGAGUCUGCGGCCUGACCACUCCUUACCAUCUGGGGCCCGUGGAAAGGCUCUUAACCUUGCUGAUGCUCAAUUUCCUCACCUUUAACCCCGGUGUAAUAAUAUCUUUCCUGAGAAAUGUUUCUUUUAGUCAGAGCUUCUUAUUCACUUCUUCUCAAAUCAGAGAAUGAAGGAAGGAAGGUGAGAAGGGAGGGAGUGAGAGAAGGGGAGGGAGGGAAGGAGAGGGAGGGAAAGGGACGGGGUAGAAAAAAGGAGAGAAAUAUUAUUCUCUUUCUUCACUCAGGGAGGCAUAAUGGAUGAAUCAUAGGUUGAAAAUUUUUGAGUGCCUUAGAUUCCAUUUUAAGAGCUAUUUCAAGAAAUACUAGAUACUGGCUUAAAAUAAUACAACCAAUUAUAAUAACUAGAAAACACAUAAUUCACGUUGUUUUAUGAACUGAAAAUAUUCCUUUUGAAGACAGACAAGAGUUCUUUUCUGAUGUGAGUCACUGGAGAUCCACUUUUUAAAAAAAGAUGUAUAUAAACAGGAAGAACCAAGUUCAUACACUGGUAAAAUUUAAUCAAAACCAAUCAUUGUUUUCUUUUCUAGAUGAAGUAAUUUAUACCAAUUUUAAACAUACAUAGAUAGAUACACACACACACAUAUAUAAUGUUUAACAACUCAGAAAGACUAGUAGACCCAAUUCUUUUUCAAAAUUCCUUUAAAAUUGGACUUUAUCUUACAAAUAAAAUAUAUCACUUUAUGCAAAUUAACGGUUGUUACUAAGAAAAUCAAAGUAACUUUGAAAACAGUAUAGAAAACAUUUACUGAAGUCUAUGAUUUCUUAAUGCAUUUUUAAUUACCCAUUCUCUUCACCUGAUAAAUACUUGCAGUUUACCGAAGGACAAUAACAUAGAUUAAUAUUAAUGAACACUAAUAUGCCCCCAAAACAAGAUAAAGUGGUUUCAUCUGAUAAAAAAUUGGCAUGAAAUGUUACCAUAACUGUUUCUUACCAAUAACUUCUUCAAUUUACAAAAAGAAUUAGCUGUGGAAUAUCUAUAAAUAGUAUAUUCUCAUAAGGCAUUCGAAAUAGGGAUUAAAACAAGCUCCAACCAGGGCCCUUGGCUUCGGUUCAUUAGAUCUAUGUGUCAAAUAAAAUAGAUAAUAUACAAAUUUUAUAAUGCUUGGUUAUAACCUUCAAUAAGAGUUUAAUCCAAUUAUUCCAAAUAGUCUUCACAUUAGUAUAAAAAUGAUCUCUUCCUUGGUAUGUCUAUCUACAUGUCUUUUUCUAUGAAUACAUCUAUCUUACAAUAGACAAUUGACUGCCAUUCAGUUCUGCAAAGUCUUUAUACACAUACAGACUCAUUCUCUCUCUGCCCUCCAGGCCAGUUAUCUUCCUAAAAAGGAUCUUAUUUUGCCAUUUCCUCACUUUAAAAUGUUCACUGACUUCGAGUCACCUAUUGCAGUGAUUCUCAACUAGAGCUGCACAUUAGAGUCUCCAAGUGAGCUUUUUCAAAAUAUCUUUCCUUGGGCUCCACCUCAGAGAUUAGAAUUUAAUUGGUCCACUCUUCUUCUUAAUGUGGGUACAUAAUAGUUACUCUAAAAUGGUGUUCAAGCAUCAUUUCCUGUAACUUUACUCUCUUUAUCCUCCACUGGCAUACAUUUUAUGUUCUAGCCAUGCAAAUCUUUUUACCAUCAAUUUUCUGCCUGAAUCCCCUCUCCCUUUCAUACCAGUCCCACUUGUAUCUCAACCUCAAGACUCAGCCAAACAUCAUUUCUGCAGUGUCUUCCCUACAUCUUCCAGAUAGUGAUUUGCUUCUUCCUAAGGUUCACCAGGUAUUUUGUGCACAUCUGAAUGACAAUAAUGCAUUGUUCUACAAUUCUGACUCUACUACAAGUCUGAGAGCCACUUUGAGGUGUGACAACAGUGUUUCUUGACUGGCAGUUGAAUGACAUGUUCUCUAUCUAUUUUUGGUGUGGCCAUGGAUCUCUCUCAUUCUUUUGUUACAGCAAGGCAUGUCUCUGUAUGCAUGACUUUAUCACCUCACUUCCUAUGGUCCCUAUCUCCGUCUCUUCAUUUCUCUUCAUCUCUUUUAAAUUUUCCACCUUUUCUUUCUACUUUGUAAGGUCUUUCCUUGUACUGACUAUAUUAUAGGAAAAUAUCAGUACAUUUUAUAUUUAUUAAGAACAACACUUUAUAUUCCCUGUUCUAAAUUUUAAAACUGAAUGGAGUAUUAUUUCCUUCCUUAAGAAAUAUUUCACAGAUACAAUUGUUUCUUAUAUUUAAGUAGCCCUAAAUUGUUUGUAUUUUAAACCUCAAUAUACAAAUUUUCCUCA